CUGGUCACUGUGCCUUGCUGCACGUCUGCCAGUCACGCAGCAGCUUCUGGAGGUGUCCAUGCUGAACGAGACUGGCUCCACAGAAUCUCUGCCUUUGCAGGGUUUCAGCAAAGCCUGAAAUGCUCGAGCUGUGGGAAACAGAAUUAACUGAGGAAGUUAGCGAGCAGUUGGAGUGACACAGGCAGUUGUUAGUCUUCCUUUUGACACUUUGGCUUUUAUCAAGUUCUCUUGGCAAGUAACAACUACAGGGAGGCAGAAUUUAUUAAAGCCAGCGAUGGUUAUAAAUGCAUUCCAAGAGGUGUGAGGCAGGUCACGCCAAGGUGUCACUAGUCCAGAAUCUAAACAGCGUCUAACCAGCAGAAGCCAUUCUUCAAACAUGAAUCCCAGAAUGAGCCACUGCAUUAUGUAACAUUUAUGAAUUAUUCAUUAACUCUGGUUUAGCAUUCAUCCUGCACUUGAGCUAAAGCCAGCCUUGUAUUUGCAGAGCAACAAAUUCUUCAAGAGCUUGACCAGAACCUCAACCUCCUAAUGAGAAGGAGAAGCAGAAGGGGAGAAGGGAAGGAUCAAAAAGCAACAGCUUGGAAAAUUAAACUAAGAAGAUCACAUCCUCAAAUUAUUGAUAACCACCUAAUUUCAGUUUUUAUU